GUGUCAGUUUACUGUGUCGGCAGUGCCUUUGCUAAACGGCCCUAAAAGCUGAUUUUUAUGGCGACGACAGCAUAGACUAUGUAAUAAUAGUUCGCUUCGUGUUGCGUUUUCCACGAAAGCUCCGGGCGAGCAACACUCAGUCUGUGUGUAAAUGAACGUGUUACGAAGAGGAGGACAAAAGAAUCGAGCAUAUUGAUGAGUCAGUCAGUGGAGAUUUUUCGGCAAGAACCUUUCUGUUUUUUUUUUUUUUUUUGCUUAAAAAAAGCGAUAUUGGAGCGCCCUAAGGUGUUUUUGUAGGGAAACAUCUAAUCUUACAAUUGACACAACUUAACUUAGUACACUUCUGCGAAGUACGGUUUGGUUUGGCCGAGGAACCCCAGCAGCCACAGGCGGUGUGACUCUUGAGUCUGAGUCUGAACUGAGGCUCCUGACGAGACGCGAAAGGGGGAUGGAGCCUCGGACCCAACAAUAGCGACCCUUCACUUGGGGACGGAAUUCACGAGUGAAAGCAGCUCUCCACCUUCCUCUGUCGUCGUCAAAAGUGCGUGGGAAACACACUUUAUUACACCUCCUACGAUGAAAUGUGUGCUUGUCGCCUUCGCUGAGACCGCGGAGAAGUCAGAGCAGCCCACCUGAGUGAGCGAAGUCGAGGAGUACCGCGCAAAUCUGAGCACAUCCGUAGACUCAGACACGCGCGCGCGAGCGCGCGCGCGCACACCCUCACGCGCGCACCAUUUCUUUGAUGUCUCCGCGUGACAGACCUGUAAAGGCUUGGACCCUGAGUUGAGGUAAUUGUGGUCACGCAGAGCGGUUUUCUGAGGUCACGGACGGUUCCCAGCAUCUGUUUGCCUUCGAAGAGAUCUUCUUACCUCGCCCACAUUAUGUACAACCACUUUAACCCAGCAGCUCUUCUGGAACAAGAAUAGCAGCACCUCAAAAGCAGCAGAAUAACUCCAGGGCAUUGCACACAUCUGUGGACUAGGGCACUGGCCCAUGCGCGCUCCUUUGGACAGAACCAGGAGGAAUAGCAAUAAUCUCUACUCCCCCGGUAUAUCCCCAGUUGGAGGUAUUCUACAGAUGGAUUUCCCAGUCCUUUACACUAAAUCUCCUAGCAAGCACUCACAGGCACAGCAGAUUUUUGAAUUUCAGGUACAGUAUAGUGCCUUGAGCAAUUUCUUAGUUAGUCUCUCAGGUGAAAUGAAAUUUGUGCAAAAUUAAUGAAUGGAGCACGUCAUGAGAGAGGGCUUAUGUCAAUGAAAGUUUUCCGCUGAGGAUGAAAUCUGGAUGGCAGUCUCCUCUGAAGUUCUUGUCUCCCCU
rnacentral:lncRNA from 1 species